rnacentral:rRNA from 1 species
GACGAACGCUGGCGGCGUGCUUAACACAUGCAAGUCGAACGGAAAGGCCCUGCUUUUGUGGGGUGCUCGAGUGGCGAACGGGUGAGUAACACGUGAGUAACCUGCCCUUGACUUUGGGAUAACUUCAGGAAACUGGGGCUAAUACCGGAUAGGAGCUCCUGCUGCAUGGUGGGGGUUGGAAAGUUUCGGCGGUUGGGGAUGGACUCGCGGCUUAUCAGCUUGUCGGUGGGGUAGUGGCUUACCAAGGCUUUGACGGGUAGCCGGCCUGAGAGGGUGACCGGCCACAUUGGGACUGAGAUACGGCCCAGACUCCUACGGGAGGCAGCAGUGGGGCAUAUUGCACAAUGGGCGGAAGCCUGAUGCAGCAACGCCGCGUGCGGGAUGACGGCCUUCGGGUUGUAAACCGCUUUCGCCUGUGACGAAGCGUGAGUGACGGUAAUGGGUAAAGAAGCACCGGCUAACUACGUG